rnacentral:rRNA from 1 species
UACGAGCACCCCGAGUGGUCGGGACGAUUAUUGGGCCUAAAGCGUCCGUAGCCGGUUUUACAAGUCCUCCGUUAAAUCCAACUGCUUAACAGAUGGGCCGCGGAGGAUACUAUAAGACUAGGAGGCAGGAGAGGCAAGCGGUACUCAGUGGGUAGGGGUAAAAUCCGUUGAUCCAUUGAAGACCACCAGUGGCGAAGGCGGCUUGCCAGAAUGCGCUCGACGGUGAGGGAUGAAAGCUGGGGGAGCAAACCGG